rnacentral:lncRNA from 1 species
UGAUAAUUAUAAAAUAAAAUAACGGUUUGUGAUGAAUUUUGUGGUCAUAGAGCCCUGAAGCUGAUAUAAUAAUACCCUUGAUUUAAUCGAAAGUACACAAGGAUUGUCAAUGGCCCCCAUUGUUUUAUUUUCCUCCAUUGAUAACUCUGGUGACCAAGCAUAUUAUUUGACAUGUUACUACAUUGUUGUCACUUUCAUGUUUAUAUUUGUUUACUUUUAUGAUAUAAACAAAUUUACAAGGUCGACAACCUAGUAGCUACAUGGCAUUUUUACAUGCAAAUUG